CACACCGCCCGUCACACCAUGAGAGCUGUUUGUACCAAAGUCAUUUUAGCCAACCUGAAAGGGGGCGGAUGCCUAAGGUAUGUAUGGUGAUUGGGGUG
rnacentral:rRNA from 1 species